rnacentral:rRNA from 1 species
AAUUUGACUCAACACGGGGAAACUUACCAGCGCAAAACAAGGGUGGGAUUGACAGAUUGAGAGCUCUUUCUUGAUUCUUUGGAUAGUGGUGCAUGGCCGUUCUUAGUUGGUGGAGUGAUUUGUCUGGUUAAUUCCGUUAACGAACGAGACCUCCGCCUGCUAAAUAGUCACGCGGUGCUACGCGCACCCGCGGGUUGACUUCUUAGAGGGACUAUCGGCGUUUAGUCGAUGGAAGUUGGAGGCAAUAACAGGUCUGGAUGCCC